CAGCCGCCGCGGUAAUACGUAGGUGGCAAGCGUUGUCUGGAAUUAUUGGGCGUAAAGGGCUCGCAGGCGGUUUCUUAAGUCUGAUGUGAAAGCCCCCGGCUCAACCGGGGAGGGUCAUUGGAAACUGGGAAACUUGAGUGCAGAAGAGGAGAGUGGAAUUCCACGUGUAGCGGUGAAAUGCGUAGAGAUGUGGAGGAACACCAGUGGCGAAGGCGACUCUCUGGUCUGUAACUGACGCUGAGGAGCGAAAGCGUGGGGAGCGAACAGGAUUAGAUACCCCCGUAGUCCCUGUCUCUUAUAA
rnacentral:rRNA from 1 species